CAGUCGCCACGGGAAUACGUAGGGUCCGAGCGUUGUCCGGAAUUACUGGGCGUAAAGAGCUCGUAGGUGGUUUGUCGCGUUGUUCGUGAAAACUCACAACUCAAUUGUGGGCGUGCGGGCGAUACGGGCAGACUGGAGUACUGCAGGGGAGACUGGAAUUCCUGGUGUAGCGGUGGAAUGCGCAGAUAUCAGGAGGAACACCGGUGGCGAAGGCGGGUCUCUGGGCAGUAACUGACGCUGAGGAGCGAAAGCGUGGGGAGCGAACAGGAUUAGAUACCCGAGUAGUCCCUGUCUCUUAUAC
rnacentral:rRNA from 1 species